CUAGGUCACUGUUCUAGUUUCUCAAAACAGGGAUGGUACCUGUGGACAAGCUCUGCUACUCAUGGCUUCACCCUGGAGCAGGGCUAGAAGGAUUAAAUGAAAGCACUGCUGGGCACAGUGUUGAUGUAUUUUUGUCAAAAUGAUGCAUCAUGCUCGACAGAUGUGCAUUGGUUGAACUAAAGGAAAAGAAGUCCGUCAGUGUCUGGAGAUCAGAACAGAAGAUACGACCAAAGGGAGGAAAGGGAGGAAUAUUCACAGUAUGCUUCUUCUGAUAGCGCAAUGCCUAGAUCUCCAUCAGGUUAUGCUGAUAGACGAUCUCAACGUGAACCUCAGUUUUAUGAAGAAUCUGAUCAUUUAAGUUAUAGGGACUCCAACAGGAGAAGUCGUAGGCAUUCCAAAGAAUAUAUUGUAGAUGAUGAGGAUGUGGAGAGCAGAGAUGAAUAUGACAGACAAAGGAGAGAGGAGGAGGAGUACCAGGCACGCUACCGAAGUGAUCCAAAUUUGGCCCGUUAUCCAGUGAAGCCCCAACCCUAUGAAGAACAAAUGCGUAUCCAUGCUGAGGUGUCCCGCGCCAGGCAUGAGAGAAGGCAUAGUGAUGUCUCUUUGGCAAAUGCUGAACUGGAAGAUUCCAGGGUUUCUCUGCUAAGAAUGGACCGACCAUCAAGGCAAAGAUCUAUAUCUGAACGCAGAGCUGCAAUGGAAAAUCAGAGAUCGUAUUCAAUGGAAAGAACUCAAGAGGCUCAGGGACAAAGUUCUUAUCCACAAAGGACCACAAACCAUAGUCCUCCUACCCCGCGGAGGAGUCCCAUACCCGUCGAUAGACCAGACCUGAGGCGUACUGACUCAUUAAGGAAACAGCACCACUUAGAUCCCAAUUCUGCUGUGAGGAAAACAAAAAGGGAAAAAAUGGAAACAAUGUUGAGGAAUGAUUCCCUCAGUUCAGACCAGUCAGAGUCAGUGAGACCACCACCGCCAAAGCCUCAUAAAUCAAAGAAAGGAGGUAAAAUGCGACAAGUUUCAUUGAGCAGUUCAGAGGAGGAAAUGGCUUCCACACCUGAGUAUACGAGUUGUGAUGAUGUUGAGAUCGAAAGUGAGAGUGUAAGUGAAAAAGGAGACAUGGAUCACAACUGGUUGGACCAUACGUCUUGGCAUAGCAGUGAGGCAUCCCCAAUGUCUUUGCACCCUGUGACCUGGCAGCCAUCUAAAGAUGGAGAUCGCUUAAUUGGUCGUAUUUUAUUAAAUAAGCGUCUAAAAGAUGGAAGUGUACCUCGAGAUUCUGGAGCAAUGCUUGGCUUAAAGGUAUGUAAUAAAAUUCAUGAGAUCGGGGCCAGGGAUUUAGCUCAGUGGUUUCCCUGCCUGCUGUGCAAGCGCAAGGACCAGAGUUUGAUCCCUGGAACCCGCCCCCCCCCAAAAAAAUUCAUGAGA
rnacentral:lncRNA from 1 species